rnacentral:misc_RNA from 1 species
UAACACUAGGAGAAUGGUAAAAAGUUAUUUGGCUUUGCCUAAAAAGAGUGGCUUUCAGCCUAUGGAGUGAGACUGUUGCCCAUUAUAAAGAAAGGUUUUACCAAUUAUUGAGGAUUUGGCUCUGUCAAUUUAUGAAGGGCUCUUGCGCAUUGUAGUCCUAUGAAGGGAAAGAAACUUUAGAAAAAGGCAUAAUCUAAGAGGAAGGGAUUAUAACCCAUUGUAGUUGAAGACACUGUUAUGUCUAGAGGAGACUAAGAG